rnacentral:tmRNA from 1 species
GGGGGUGACUUGGCUUCGACGUUGGCGACGAAACUUUAGGUGCAUGUCGAGAGGGGUAUACGAUCUCGUAAAUCAACGUUUACCGUUUUUAUAGUUGCAAACGAAGACAACUACGCUCUAGCGGCUUAAGCCCGCUAGCACUGCCUGUGUUUUAAGUGCCUAUGCUUCACAGACCGGUGUCAUCUUUCAUAGGAUACGCCGACAGCAAUGCUUACGUGUCUAGGCCGACAAUUUAAGUAAGCUCGCCCCAUCCACCCUGUCCUUCGGGUCGGUACGGGUUAAUCCAAUAGAAGUGACUAAGCAUGUAGUACCGAGAGCGGAGUGCUCGCGGACGCGGGUUCGACUCCCGCCACCUCCACCA